rnacentral:rRNA from 3 species
GGAUGUGAUCAUACCAGCACUAAAGCACCGGAUCCCAUCAGACCUCCGAAGUUAAGCGUGCUUGGGCGAGAGUAGUACUAGGAUGGGUGACCUCCUGGGAAGUCCUCGUGUUGCAUUCC